GUGCCCAGCAGCCGCGGUAAUACGUAGGUGGCAAGCGUUGUCCGGAUUUACUGGGCGUAAAGGAUGUGUAGGCGGAUAUUUAAGUGAGAUGUGAAAUCCCCGGGCUUAACUUGGGGGCUGCAUUUCAAACUGGAUGUCUAGAGUGCAGGAGAGGAAAGCAGAAUUCCUAGUGUAGCGGUGAAAUGCGUAGAGAUUAGGAAGAAUACCAGUGGGGAAGGGGGGUUUCUGGACUGUAAUUGAAGCUGAG
rnacentral:rRNA from 1 species